rnacentral:rRNA from 1 species
GACGAACGCUCGUUGCGUGCUUAACACAUGCAAGUCGAACGGAAAGGCCCUGCUUUUGUGGGGUGCUCGAGUGGCGAACGGGUGAGUAACACGUGAGUAACCUGCCCUUGACUUUGGGAUAACUUCAGGAAACUGGGGCUAAUACCGGAUAGGAGCUCCUGCUGCAUGGUGGGGGUUGGAAAGUUUCGGCGGUUGGGGAUGGACUCGCGGCUUAUCAGCUUGUUGGUGGGGUAGUGGCUUACCAAGGCUUUGAUGGGUAGCCGGCCUGAGAGGGUGACCGGCCACAUUGGGACUGAGAUACGGCCCAGACUCCUACGGGAGGCAGCAGUGGGGAAUAUUGCACAAUGGGCGGAAGCCUGAUGCAGCAACGCCGCGUGCGGGAUGACGGCCUUCGGGUUGUAAACCGCUUUCGCCUGUGACGAAGCGUGAGUGACGGUAAUGGGUAAAGAAGCACCGGCUAACUACGUGCCAGCAGCCGCGGUGAUACGUAGGGUGCGAGCGUUGUCCCGAUUUAUUGGGCGUAAAGGGCUCGUAGGUGGUUGAUCGCGUCGGAAGUGUAAUCUUGGGGCUUUACCCUGAGCGUGCUUUCGAUACGGGUUGACUUGAGGAAGUUAGGGGAGAAUGGAGUUCCUGGUGGAGCGGUGGAAUGCGCAGAUAUCAGGAGGAACACCAGUGGCGAAGGCGGUUCUCUGGGCCUUUCCUGACGCUGAGGAGCGAAAGCGUGGGGAGCGAACAGGCUUAGAUACCCUGGUAGUCCACGCUGUAAACGGUGGGUACUAGGUGUGGGGUCCAUUCCACGGGUUCCGUGCCGUAGCUAACGCUUUAAGUACCCCGCCUGGGGAGUACGGCCGCAAGGCUAAAACUCAAAGGAAUUGACGGGGCCCCGCACAAGCGGCGGAGCAUGCGGAUUAAUUCGAUGCAACGCGUAGAACCUUACCUGGGUUUGACAUGGAUCGGGAGUGCUCAGAGAUGGGUGUGCCUCUUUUGGGGUCGGUUCACAGGUGGUGCAUGGCUGUCGUCAGCUCGUGUCGUGAGAUGUUGGGUUAAGUCCCGCAACGAGCGCAACCCUUGUUCACUGUUGCCAGCACGUUAUGGUGGGGACUCAGUGGAGACCGCCGGGGUCAACUCGGAGGAAGGUGGGGAUGACGUCAAGUCAUCAUGCCCCUUAUGUCCAGGGCUUCACGCAUGCUACAAUGGCUGGUACAGAGAGUGGCGAGCCUGUGAGGGUGAGCGAAUCUCGGAAAGCCGGUCUCAGUUCGGAUUGGGGUCUGCAACUCGACCUCAUGAAGUCGGAGUCGCUAGUAAUCGCAGAUCAGCAACGCUGCGGUGAAUACGUUCCCGGG